UUGCAUUGAAACGCUGAUAACAACGUUGUUUAAGGGUUAAUAGAGCAGCGAUGCUGUGAUGACUUCCUGAAGGCAGAGUUUCAGAAAGAGCAGGAGUUU